ACAAAACAAUCAAGGUUACAUUCCAUUCAUUGAGCUCAACAAGGAACAUUGAUUAAAUGGCUGAUCAUGCAAACAUACAACUUCUGUCUCAGGCAACCAUCUGCAUCUUAGUAACCUGAUGUAGCACCAGAAAGACCAAAGGCAAACAAGGAACGAAUCCUUAAGGGAAAAGAGAACUAAUUCUCAAAUUAUAUUGAUCUCAAAUAACAAUCAUAUCAAAGUCUCAAACUAAUAAUAACAGAAACCCUAGGUCCUAUAUAUAGUAUUAGUAUUCCUACUAGCUUUAGGAUUGAGCCUAAUUAGAAAGAUAGAAAUUAUAUCCUAACUAGAAUUCAAUAAUUAAAAUACUUCCUAAAUAAAACACUAAAACUAAUAAAAUUCUUAAAUAAUAAAAGCUCUAAAUUUCUGAAUUUUGCAAUAAACAUAACUCCUAAAUUCUUGUUCCAUAUUGCAUUACUUCCACUAUCUUUUGGCUUUUCCUUUCCCUUCAUCAGGCUGUUAGUGUGUAAUAGAUUAUACACUGACUGUAUUGUCUACAUACAAUUUGAUGUUCCUAAAUAGUGGGCAUCAAAUUAGCAAUGGAAUAUUCACUUUGAACCUGAUAUUUAUGUUAUUUAUGUUUGGAAGAAUGUUGAUUGAAAUAAUAUACAAGGUCGUCAUAAAUGUAACUGUACCUGAACAGAAAGGUGUCUAGAUUGUUGGAGUAGAGGUAUGUCAAGGCUGCUAGAAUGAAUCAGUCGAAUAACAUUUCAUAGCAUCCCAUAUGGAUUGUAAGUGGAGUCCUAUUUCUAGCAGUGGAAAUAUUUGGACUCUCACACAAUUGUGCAUGACCUAAUACUAGAUGAUGUAGUUUUCAUCUCAGUAGUUAUAAUUAAUGAAAGUGAUGUUUUCCUAUUGGGAGGAUAUGUUGUUUGUAUGAUGAUGAAGGGAGACGGUUUGGAAGGAAACAUAGAUAUUUAGGAUAUUUGUUUGGUACUUAUGCUUGAUUAAUACUUAUGAAAUUAGGUGAAGAUGGUUGAGGGCAUAAUAAUUAGCAAGAGUAUAAGUAACCUGGGUACUGCUAGUACCAGUGUUAUCAAUGCGAAAGGCUACACUAAGGCAACAAGGGACCUUACGGCUUUAGUGAGAGGCGAGAAGCGAGGCGAGGC
rnacentral:misc_RNA from 1 species